GGCCUCGUGGCCCAAUGGCAAGGCGUCUGACUACGAGUAGAGAAUGAAUUCUCUGCGGCGAUCAGGAGAUUCUGGGUUCGACCCCCAGCGAGGUCA